rnacentral:tRNA from 1 species
UCCCAGGUAGCUCAAAUGGUACAGCUUCUGCUUGCAAUAAGGGAGACCCAGGUUCGAUCCCUGGGUUGGGAA